CCAGCGGGAGAGACCGGUUUUUGGCCGGCGCCGAAGGAGCAACAGCCUCGGAAACUCUCAGGCAAAAGGACCGCAAGGG
rnacentral:ncRNA from 1 species